UUUUAGCGCUUUUUUUUUUUUUUUUAAUUUUUUCCCCCGUAGAUUGAACGCUGGCGGCAGGCUUAAGGCACAUGCAAGUCGAACGGUAGCAGGAAGAAGCUUGCUUCUUUGCUUACGAGUGGCGGACGGGUGAGUAAUGCUUGGGAAUCUGGCUUAUGGAGGGGGAUAACUACGGGAAACUGUAGCUCAAUACCGCGUAAUGUCUUUGGAUUAAAGGGAUUUGGGACUUUCGGGCCACCUGCCAUAAGAUGAGCCCAAGUGGGAUUAGGUAGUUGGUGGGGUAAAGGCCUACCAAGCCGACGAUCUCUAGCUGGUCUGAGAGGAUGACCAGCCACACUGGAACUGAGACACGGUCCAGACUCCUACGGGAGGCAGCAGUGGGGAAUAUUGCACAAUGGGGGGAACCCUGAUGCAGCCAUGCCGCGUGAAUGAAGAAGGCCUUCGGGUUGUAAAGUUCUUUCGGUGAUGAGGAAGGCGUUUUAUUUAAUAGAUGAAUUCGAUUGACGUUAGUCACAGAAGAAGCACCGGCUAACUCCGUGCCAGCAGCCGCGGUAAUACGGAGGGUGCGAGCGUUAAUCGGAAUGACUGGGCGUAAAGGGCACGCAGGCGGUAACUUAAGUGAGAUGUGAAAGCCCCGGGCUUAACCUGGGAAUUGCAUUUCAUACUGGGUUGCUAGAGUAUUUUAGGGAGGGGGUAGAAUUCCACGUGUAGCGGUGAAAUGCGUAGAGAUGUGGAGGAAUACCGAAGGCGAAGGCAGCCCCUUGGGAAUAUACUGACGCUCAUGUGCGAAAGCGUGGGGAGCAAACAGGAUUAGAUACCCUGGUAGUCCACGCUGUAAACGAUGUCGAUUUGGGGAUUGGGCUAUAUGCUUGGUGCCCGAAGCUAACGUGAUAAAUCGACCGCCUGGGGAGUACGGCCGCAAGGUUAAAACUCAAAUGAAUUGACGGGGGCCCGCACAAGCGGUGGAGCAUGUGGUUUAAUUCGAUGCAACGCGAAGAACCUUACCUACUCUUGACAUCCAGAGAACCUUAUAGAGAUAUGAGGGUGCCUUCGGGAACUCUGAGACAGGUGCUGCAUGGCUGUCGUCAGCUCGUGUUGUGAAAUGUUGGGGUUAAGUCCCGCAACGAGCGCAACCCUUAUCCUUUGUUGCCAGCGAUUUGGUCGGGAACUCAAAGGAGACUGCCAGUGAUAAACUGGAGGAAAGGUGGGGGAUGACGUCCAAGUCAUCAUGGGCCCUUCCGAGUAGGGCUACCCCCUUGCUUCAAUGGUGGCUACCAAAGGGGAAGCAAAAAU
rnacentral:rRNA from 1 species